UUCUGGGAGAACACAGUGCUGUCCUUAUGACUCCACUGGGAGAGAACAGUCUUUCCCGAGUUUUCCUGAGCUGAGGAUUUAUACACAGUCUUUCCUGAGCUUUGCCCCACACGCCUUUUAUGGGUGCUAACUUUAAUCUGCAUCUAUCCCGUCACUGUAAUCAACCCUAACUGCUUUUAAGGACUUCCCAAUUGGAUUCUGUUUCUACUGACAUCAAUAUAAAUUGGAACCUGCUCCUUCACUUCAAUUCUCUCCCCAGAAGUGAGAGCUGAUAGCCCCAGGUAGAACAGCUCACUGUGGCUUCUGGAUUCAGUUUCUGGCCUCCCUGCUCAUCAGACUCAAGCCUCACCCGCUUCUCCCAUCCCUGAGCAUGUUUAUGAGCCCCAGCCCCCAGAGACAUUUCAACUUGGGUUCCUACUGAGGAUUCCAGACUUGACCUCUCUUUUUAUUUCUGUCCCCUGGAACUGUCCCUUUCUUGCUUUGGGGACGUUCUCUAUUUUUUUAGUGCCACUAUAUGAGGGUAAGAGAUCUAUCCCAUCAACUCAGCCUACUGUUUUGCUGGAAAUCUUACAAAAGAACUAUCUUAUGUUUUCACCUCAAUUCCAGAGUAACUAGAAAUACUACCCUACGUAGUGUGCAAAGGGUACACACUAAUGAAACAAUGAAUGGAACUAAGCGCGUCAGCAGAACAAUCAGUGACAGAAUUUGGACCCCAGAUCCGCAAAAUAGACCAACUCCUAACAGACUCCCAACCCUACGUGGGCACAGACACUUAGUUUGAAUGCUAUUCCAGUGUUUUCAUGUUGAUAAAUAUGAACAUUUUAAAUCUUAAGGGAAGAUAGGUAGUUUUAAGUCCGUCCUUUCAAUUUUACAUCUGCAUUUAAAAAUAUAAUUUAAACUACUAUUUAACCAUUAAUUAUAUCCCAAAAAAAGAGGAUAUAAAAACCCAAGUGAACACAAAGUUAACCUACUUGCCCAUGGUUUUGAAACCCAGCCCACACAAUUCCCAACCUCUGUAGCAUGUUCCCUUGGCUAGAUGAAUAUCAAAUGUAAGAUGAUUUCUAUGGUUAGGAGUUGAGUUGAAAGCAGAAACUCUUUAGUCUUAAACUAGAAGUUUCAUUUUUUUAUGUGCAAAAGCAUCUAUCUGCAAAUGCCCAAAUGAGAAACAACAGACUGGCUGAAACUAUUCAGCACCACACCUGGCCACUAGGGAGUGAUCAGGAUUUUUC